rnacentral:lncRNA from 10 species
CUGGGUUGGACUCUGGCUCUCCCUUUGAUAAGCCUCAUAACCACUCAAUAUUUCCCCCCUAAAUGACAGUGCAUUAAGCCCCAAAGAGUCUCCUUUUGUUCUUUCCACAAAUGACACCUGAGCUGCUCCUCUGGGGGUGGGGGGAAGCAGCAGGGAAGCAGUGAGAAGCUGGGCGUGGCUACUGUCCUCUGGGAACUCACUGCUCAGCACUGAGUUACAGAGUGUGAGGAGGGCUGUGAAGGAAACGGGCAGGCAGGGGGAACAGCCGCGGAAAAGCUUCGAGGUGGCAAAGAGCCGGGAGAGUUCUGUGUGACUGCAGCUUGGCAGGGGAUCCAGGAGAGGCUGGAGGCCCAACAGGCCGGACCAGGAAGUGCCAGGCCAUUCAGGUGUCUUCGCUCUUUCAUUCAACAACAUCAAGCACCUACUGUGUGCCAGGUGCCGUAUUAAGUGUAGAGGACAGAGUGGUACUAAAAGACAACACAGUCCUUGCUGCCAAGGAGCCAACAGUUAUAAUGACAGCAACACACACCAGUUCAGGUCUAUGUCCCUGUAAUAAGAACUGAGGCUUCCUGGGUGCCUUGCACUGCAGCCAGCCACGUUCCAGGGAGCGGCAGCUCCUCGAACCAGAAGUUCUGAGAUUGAAUCCUGGGACUGUAACCUGGUAACUGCACUAGACAAAUCUGGUUCAACUUUUAUGUAACAAAGUUGUGAGUUGUUUUCAGUUGCCAUGAACCCCCAGGUUGAAGGUCACAUAACCUGGGCAUGCCCAGACACACCAAGCAUGCAGCCAGGGACGGAACCUAAGUGCUCGAGCCAGGAUGCGGGGACUGAAUUAAGAAGUGGACACUGCAUGGCAGGAUCCAGGAUCCAAUCAGAUUGAGCCCUGGCGUCACCCCAUGGCAGGAUCUAAUCAGAUCACACCUCCUGGCAUCACCUGAUGGGAACAGCCAAUCAGAUCACACCUCAUUAUCCUAUGCUUAUAAAACCUGACCUAGCCCCCAGCCGGGAGACAGAUUUGAGUGUUUCCUCCUGUCUCCUUGCCACUCACAGUAAACCUUUCUCGCUGCAAAAACGCAGUGCCUUGGUGUUUGGCUUUCUGCUGCAUGUGGGCAAUAGACCCAGUUCGGUUCAGUGACUGACCUAGUUGGCAGUGAGCUCAGCACAUGACGCAGUGGCUCAGGACUCCACUCAGCAAGUUCCCUGGGACUGCAUCCCUUUAUUGUCCCAUUUUCCAGGGAGGAAACCAAGGCUCACCAUGGCGAAGGGGAUGCCCGUGGUCACAGCGAGUGAGUGGAGGAGCGAGAUCUCUAACCCAGGCGUGUGGCAUACUCGACCCUGAGCACCAAAACAUGCUUGCUAGAACCAUGACAACAACGUCAACAACGACAAAUAACAGUGACUGGGUGUUUGCCGUGUGCCAGGCAUUGUUCUAAGUGCUCCGUGGGAACUACGCUGACCACCCCAUGAAGGAAGUGCUCUUUCAGAUCCCAUUUUGCAAAUGAGGAAACCGAGGCUAGCAAGCAGUCAGACUGGAAUGGGAGCCCAGGAGGCCUGCCUGCAGGAGCCGAGAGCUCACCACUGCACCAUGCAUUUCAUUCAUUAUCCUAUGCUUAGUGUUUAGUGUUUAUCCUACGUUUAGAUGUUUAGUGGACCGUUCUGUCCUCUGACCCCAGCCGACAAGCUCUCCUAGGUUCUGGUGGUGAGAGUUACAUUGGUUUCUAUGAUGUGUAACAAAUUAUCACAA